AUACGGAGGGUGCAAGCGUUGUCCGGAUUCACUGGGUGUAAAGGGUGUGUAGGCGGGGCGGUAUGUCAGAGGUGAAAGCCCACGGCUCAACCGUGGAAUUGCCUUUGAAACUGCCGUUCUUGAGUCUCGGAGAGGUCGCUGGAAUUCGUGGUGUAGCGGUGAAAUGCGUAGAUAUCACGAGGAACACCAGAGGCGUAGGCGGGCGACUGGACGAGAACUGACGCUGAGGCACGAAAGCGUGGGGAGCAAACAGGAUUAGAUACCCGAGUAGUCC
rnacentral:rRNA from 1 species